AUAAACGAGGGAGCGGAGACAAAAUCCGCUCUCCUACGCGGUCAAAGUCUUGGGAGGAUGCGAUCCUGGCGCGGUCAUGCGCAGCCGCCGGGAAACCGGAAUGAGGAUCGGACGCGUUUAUCUUGCAAGGCUUCGCGCCUUGCAUUUUUUU
rnacentral:sRNA from 1 species